GAUGAACGCUGACAGAAUGCUUAACACAUGCAAGUCGAUGGGGAAGUGGUGCUUGCACCAUGGUAACCAUGGCGGACGGGUGAGUAACGCGUAAGGAACUUACCUGCGGGACCGGGAUAACAGCAGGAAACUGCUGACAAGACCGGAUAAGGUCAUUAAGCUGCAUAGCUUAGUGAUGAAAGGAGACGCCUGCGGAGAGCCUUGCGUCCUAUUAGCUAGUUGGAGGGGUAACGGCCCACCAAGGCGAAGAUAGGUAGCCGGCCUGAGAGGGUGGACGGCCACAAGGGGACUGAGAUACGGCCCUUACUCCUACGGGAGGCAGCAGGGGGGAAUAUUGGACAAUGGGGGCAACCCUGAUCCAGCAAUUCUGUGUGCACGAAGACGGUUUUCGGAGUGUAAAGUGCUUUCAGCAGGGAAGAAGGAAGUGACGGUACCUGCAGAAGAAGCGACGGCUAAAUACGUG
rnacentral:rRNA from 1 species